rnacentral:rRNA from 1 species
UGAGUAACCUGCCCUUCACUCUGGGAUAACUCCGGGAAACCGGGGCUAAUACUGGAUAUGACUCGAACAGGCAUCUGUUUCGGGUGGAAAGAUUUAUUGGUGGGGGAUGGACUCGCGGCCUAUCAGCUAGUUGGUGUGGGUAAUGGCCCACCAAGGCGACGACGGGUAGCCGGCCUGAGAGGGUGACCGGCCACACUGGGACUGAGACACGGCCCAGACUCCUACGGGAGGCA